rnacentral:rRNA from 1 species
GCAAUUAUACAGCGAAACUGCGAAUGGCUCAUUAUAUAAGUUAUCGUUUAUUUGAUAGUACCUUACUACUUGGAUAACCGUGGUAAUUCUAGAGCUAAUACAUGCUAAAAAUCCCGACUUCGGAAGGGAUGUAUUUAUUAGAUUAAAAACCAAUGCCCUCUGGGCUCUUUGGUGAUUCAUGAUAACUUCUCGAAUCGCACGGCCUUGCGCCGGCGAUGGUUCAUUCAAAUUUCUUCCCUAUCAACUUUCGAUGUUUGGGUAUUGGCCAAACAUGGUUGCAACGGGUAACGGAGGGUUAGGGCUCGACCCCGGAGAAGGAGCCUGAGAAACGGCUACUACAUCCAAGGAAGGCAGCAGGCGCGCAAAUUACCCAAUCCCGACACGGGGAGGUAGUGACAAUAAAUACUGAUACAGGGCUCUUUUGGGUCUUGUAAUUGGAAUGAGUACAAUUUAAAUCCCUUAACGAGGAACAAUUGGAGGGCAAGUCUGGUGCCAGCAGCCGCGGUAAUUCCAGCUCCAAUAGCGUAUAUUAAAGUUGUUGUGGUUAAAAAGCUCGUAGUUGAACCUUGGGCCUGGCUGGCCGGUCCGCCUCACCGCGUGUACUGGUCCGGCCGGGCCUUUCCCUCUGUGGAACCUCAUGCCCUUCACUGGGUGUGACGGGGAAACAGGACUUUUACUUUGAAAAAAUUAGAGUGCUCCAGGCAGGCCUAUGCUCGAAUACAUUAGCAUGGAAUAAUAAAAUAGGACGUGUGGUUCUAUUUUGUUGGUUUCUAGGACCGCCGUAAUGAUUAAUAGGGACAGUCGGGGGCAUCAGUAUUCAAUUGUCAGAGGUGAAAUUCUUGGAUUUAUUGAAGACUAACUACUGCGAAAGCAUUUGCCAAGGAUGUUUUCAUUAAUCAGGAACGAAAGUUAGGGGAUCGAAGACGAUCAGAUACCGUCGUAGUCUUAACCAUAAACUAUGCCGACUAGGGAUCGGACGAUGUUAUUUUUUGACGCGUUCGGCACCUUACGAGAAAUCAAAGUGCUUGGGCU